UUUCAUUACAGAAUGUGGUGAAUGAGUUUGCUCACCGUUCCGACAUCCGCUCACUCUGAGACCCGUACCAUCAGUUCUCCCAGCCUUGCCUUGUAAAAUCUAAGAGUCAGAUGGACUGGAAGGAUCACCACCCUCCUUUUCACCUAGGUGAGCAAGACCUAAGGAAGUGAAGGGACCUUAACAAAGUAACACACUGAGUUAAAAGAGGAGCUCAAACCCCAGUCUACUGAACCGCCGAUGGCGCUCUUUCCAGGGUGCCUCGUCAUUGCCAGCUCUCUAAACCAUCACCUCCCAAUCUCAAACGUGAACCCCCAGAAUACCUUCCAGAAAGCUACAGAAAAACAUCAUUCUUUCACGAUAAGGCCGUUCCCUUCCAAGGCUUUAGCAUCAGAUUUUCAUCUUAUCCAAGAAACUCCCAACAAAAAUAACAAAUGGAAGAUGAAAACCUCCAGAACAUUUCAAACAACCCUUUACCUGUGUAUACUGUCAAAUCGGCAUAUCUGACAGCAAGCUGUCAGACAAAGACUCACCCUGAUGUACGUACAUAGACCAGCGGUAACGGAGCCUUGCGGGAAGGGAGCGGCUUCUGAACUAGUCCUUGAGAUGAGCCAACUGCUCUCUUCCCUCCCCCCUCCCCUGCCCACACCCACCCAAAGGCCAGUCUCUCCCAAGCUGUUUAGCAACUCUGUGGAAGACAGCUUAAGGUCCAGGAGCGGAUUGGGAACAGCUAACACUCUGGCAAUCGUUUUCCUUUUCCCUGAGCCCAGACUUCAGUGGGCGUGCAAUGUGGCAUUUUGCUUCUGAUUUCAACCAUUUCCCCAGCAAUUGAGCACGAGAAAAAUAAGAGCUUGUGCCAGCUCAGGAGCAGCCAGCCCCCAGGUUCCCUGCCUCCUUGGCGUGGACUUGGUGACCCAGGCCGUUCCUAUGGACCUAAGAAACGGGCCACAAAUUGCCUGCAGGACAACACAGGAAGGUUCAUCGCACAAUUCCCUUUAAGCCAAAGAAGCAGAUGGGCCUCCAAUCCUGUUGAGAGCAGCCUGGAAGAUCUAUGAGGAUGGUCAAGCCAUCUUACUUGUAGAAACCCAUCUUCGUCCCUGAUUCCUGGUAUAAACACAAGGGCAGCUAAAGAAACAAAACGUUCUCUGUGCCACUGCCAGAUUCCAGUGUGUUAAACAGGAAUACAGAGCGAAGACAUGGUGCGGCACAGGGACCUGCCUCCUUCAACCACUGUUCAACCUUGAGGCCCAGGAGCCUUGGCUUUGGCUUGGAAGCUUAGAGCUCAGCCUGAAGAAAUGGCCCAUAAAAAGCCCCAUUCCUGGCAUUUAUCCAGAUAUUCCCCAGGAGAUGUGUUCAAACAAGAAUCUUCUCUCUACUCACCCACCUCCCAUGACUCUGCUUGUAGGAUGAGUCCGGUCUCAGGAAAGGACAAGCCAGAGAUCUGGGCUCCAGGAUCUGUUCUGCCACUAAUGGAGUCUCAACUGCAAGGAACCAAUGCACUAUGAAUGUGAAAGGUGAAGACAGGAGUGAGGAAGACACCUAGGCAAACUUAGCUGCAGGCAGACAAGACCCUCUCACAGUGGGAUUAAAGGAGCAUGCGAUGGUGCCUGGCCUCUGGGUUGUAUCUGCUGAUACUUACAAUCAGGUCAGCCGAAAUUCAUAACUUUGACUCAAAUUUUUAUCCAUCAUUAAAGGAAAUCCCCAAGAGUGUCUAGACAGAAUUUAUUGUUGUUUUCGGUCACUGACACCUUUUGGAGAAGGGUCUGAUGUCAGGAGAGAGCUCAUUGGAAGAUGGCAAAUUCACAUGCAUCUGAGAUGAGAGAGUGGGUAAGGACCCUUGCUGGCUGGCUGCUGCAUGUUCUUUAAGAAAUGGCCAGCUGCUCCCUAGCAGAGUCUUGGAAUAUAAGAGCCCCUGGCUUUACAUGAUCCCAAAGAGAGAACAAGAGACACCAAGGGAACAUGGCCAGUGUCGGGGUGGCAGUAUCCUUGUCCACCAUGGUGGGAGUAACUGGGCACCAACCCCAUUAUUCAGAAGAGCCCAACCUGGGAAUCCAGGGACUUGGGUUCUAGACUUGGAAUUUUCCAUGUUAAGAUUAGAAGGUAGAUGGCAUCAUCUCUAACACCUUGCCCAGCUUGAGGAGCCGAUGGUUACUUUAGAUUAGGCAAAUAUUUCUCCUGAGUGAUGGAAAACAUGUAAGAGACAUGGUAGCAUGAGUGUCUGGGCUGUGAGAAAAAUGGGGAGAAAAAAGGAACUGAAGUCAUGCAGGGUGGGUGAGACUAUCCACAGGCAAUCCACACAAUUUCUUGAAAUGAUUUCAAGAAAAAUCUGUUGCCUCCAUGCCUUAUCCUUCUGAUAUAGUAGUUCACAUUCUACUCCAUCUUAGACCCUCUGAAUGGCUUUAACAGUAGAAUAAUUUAAAAUUUAGCAUUUUAUUUGAUUCCCCAUCUCCCUUUAAAAAAAAAAAAAAGAAACUAUGAACUUAGCAAGAAUUCUCAUCCCUAUUUCCCAGGAAAAAAUGUCCUGGAACUCAGGGACUUACACAA